GUGUUGUCCUUGGCAAAAGAAAAUUUACUUUAUUUUAGGAGAUUAGUAGCUGUGUGAAGAGAAAUAUUAGCAAUGCUGGCUCAUUUUAUAGAGUGGCUGAAAAGACUAAGCAAAUUUAUUUCUGGUUUGGCUGUGAAAAAAGCAUGUAGCACACUUUCACUGGAUAACAGUGUCUCAGUAUGAAGAGAUAUCUGCUUUGUACAUGGAUGAUAUUAGGAAGUGCCCCAUUACCGAGACAGCUCCUCUUGCCUGCUGGCUUUCCUCUGGAGCAGCUGUCUGUCGGUCACUGUGUCAGUUAGUAAAUCUCUGAAAUACAGAAUGAUAAUGAGCCUGGAGCUUUUGAGGAAGGCCUUGCCCUGAACUCAGCAUUAGACAGAGCUAAGUGACUAGGAUCCCCUACCCCAUCUGGAGAUUGUUUCACACGGUGGGUGGUGUUGCAGACCCUAUUGCAGCCCAAGUUCUGUUGCAGCUGCUGGACUGGACCCAUAAGACAUGACUGAAGAUACUGAUUUGAAUGCGAAGGAUGCAAAGGACGGAGAUGGACCUGGAAGAAAAGAGAGGAGGUUAAACAAACACAAACCUCGUUAAAAUAAACCCCUGCCAACUCCCACUCCCUUUUUUUGUUGAAGGAAUGUGCUGUCAUGCUUCAGAUCCCACACAGAAUUACUACAGGACAGGUAAUGAAUAGAUGCCCACACAGCAACCAGGAAACAAAGAAAAACUGUCUCACUCCCCGAAUGGUAAGGAUGACUGAAUUUCCCACCGCCAGGCUUCCUCAUCAUACAGGACAGUGUAACACACACUUUCAUAUAGUGCCGUGUUUACACACCACGUAUGCACUCACCAUUCAUCUCUUACAGGGCUAUUCACUGCAGGGAGUUUUUAUGACCGUAUAUCUCUCGUACAGUAGAAUUUCAUGUUUUUAUUUAUCUUUAAUUUAUUAUUUAUAAUGCAUCCUACUUCAAAAAAGUACGGUUUCAUAGUAACAAACUAUAUUAUCAACUAGCUAUUUUCUACAAUUACAAUAUUUGUCUCUCCGUUAUCAAUGAUUGUAAGUGGACUGCACUUGUCUUGUGUUUCCGGGUAUUUCAGAGUUCGGCAAAAUUUGAAUCAAAAUGUGACGACAAACCACACUAUACUAUAGAAAUAACUAUGUUGAGGACACUGAACUCAUACUAACCCCUACCUAAAGAUUUUUUUUUUCUGAGCUUUAAGUUAAUUUGUGAUACCAAGCUUUCAGGGCAAGAUCUUAGGAAAGAUGAUACUUUUUAUUGUGCAACAAAAUUAAGUCUUUAAUAAGCUUAAUUAGCUCUCUUUUUAAAUGCCUCUCAUGUGCUUACAGCAUUCUGUGAUGCUUAACAGCCCAGUAAACCAUUUUAAAUGUCAAUUUAACCAACCUGGCAUGUCAUUCUUGUUUGCUUUUUACUGUGUCACAAAAGGGAGCAAGGUGAAGUGAAAGUCAAAGGCAGUGAAAAAGAUUCAAGAGUUGUUUUAUGUCCUAACCCUAACCCAGACGUGGGUUUUAGUUUCUUUAAUAUAUAUAUAUACACCUUUAUUAAAGUUGUGCCAAAUAUCCUUCUUUUUAACUUUAUGUUACCCUUUGGUAAGGCAAUAACAAUUAUUACAACUGUUUCUCAGUUUGAGUAAGUGCAAAUGAUUAACCUGUUCAUGAUAAAUAUGUUAUGGAACAGCAUUUUAAAACAGAUGACAAUGUGUCUGAUCUGCAUUAUAAUAAGUUAAUUUACGAUCAUCAUAAUCAGCCAGAGCUUUUAAGUUUUGGAAAAUGUCCCGACUGUCUAAACCUUAUCGACACUGGACCAUCCCUGUGCCUUUUGAUGUUGCUGCUCUGUUUGUUCACCAGCGCCAGUGGUCUGCUCUCUCCCAUUCAACAAACUGCCUCUUGCUAAAUUCCUCACUCUGACUGGAUCGUAGCAGCAGCAUUGUUUGCAUUUUACACCAGGAGGUGAGAAACAUGCAGUCUCAGUCACACCUCUCUAGCCACGAUCCCUGGCUGCAGAGGUCUUUCUGCAGAGAUCAGGUGUGACUUUUCACCUUCAUUCAAAUACAGCCUGGGCUCUAUUAAACUCAAGCCCUGUUGUCACUAUGACAUUCAUUGUGAAAGUGAACCAAAAAUUCCUGUUUUGGGCGUCUAUCGUGUAUUUUCCCGUUUCACCUCUGGUUAAAAUUUGAUGGAGUAAAAAAAGGCUGUAAAUGCAGUUGCAAGGACAAUACUUCACACGCAUAUCAAAUAUGUCGUAGUCAAUGAAGUAUAUAGUCUUCAGUUGGUAGAUCCAACAGCAGGAGAAGCUUUGGUGUGUCUCACCGCAGUCACAGCAGGGUCUUGGGAGUGCCGAGACUAGGGGUGGAAAUCCUUAUAUUUAGUGUAUCUUUGAAUCGUGAAAGAGAAUCGCGAUGCAUCUAAGAAUCGAUUAUUUCUCCCACCCCAGCUGAGACUGUGAUAAAGCACAUCCACAUCUUCUCUGCUUGCUCAGAUUAUUUUUGGAGCUGUGUCAGAUCAAUAGAUAGGUACUUUGUUGAUCGCAAACAUCACCCACACCAUGAUCCUGGACUGCGCCACUGCCACAACCCAAGAGAGAGACAGAAUUGCCACCGUAGCCUUUCUGAGAGAAAGCAACAGUCGCCAUCAGUUUCCCCAGGGUAUAUGCCACCGAAGUCAGAUGGGGACAGAGAGUGGGAAGAAUGUGUCCACACAGGGAGAAGUUUGGUUUCCUGAUGGCCGUGGAAGUCACCCAGCAUGUCAUUGGAAAACAGGCGCAGGAGGCUCUGGUGAAAGCUGAAUAUUUUUCUCAAGACCUCAUCAAGAGAGUGGGUGAGGAGGUCCUGGAAAAGAACUGAAAAGGCAAGCAGAUGGAUAGAAGGUGAUUCGGAUGGGGCCAUCAUUCUGCUGCAAUAGAGUCAAAUAAGUCUUGUUUUCACUGUCAGACUCCAACCAAGAGGAAUCUUGCUGUCUAGGCCUUGUGAGUCCAAGAUAUCCAGUGCCUCCUCAAUGGUGAAGAUAGGAAGCUUUGCCCAGAUGUCAUCAUCAUGAUCAUCAUUAUCACCAUUGUCCUCCUGAAUAGCCACACAGGCAUUCGUUCAUUGUUGCUUCUCUGCUGUGGGCAAAUAUGACAUGGAAGAGCAUGUAGCAGUGAUGGCCAGGCCGCCAUGUUCUGGGUCAAGGCAUGACUAACAGCAGGAGGAGCAGAAACAGACAUUGCUGGCAGAACACUGAGAAACAUCUUCAGAGAUAACUCAAUAAAGCACAAUGAAGAAAAAAUGUCACAGAAGUGUUAUAUACUGUAAAUGCAGACUUAAAUGGGGUGCAGUGCUGGGCAGAGGGCGAUAAAAAAGGCUUGGUGUGGUGCACGUGCUGUUAUCGCCCCAUCUGACAUAAUAGAAUAUAUUUAGGGAAUAUAUUGGUUACUGGUGACCACGGCCAGUCCAGCCAAAAAAGUCCCCCUCUAUUCACAAAGGUGUUCGGUAUGUUUACCUUGUGUAUGUGUCAGGUUUUAUCUGACACCACAACAAAUUUGGAAGCCAAUCAAUAGUCUAAUAUGCAGCUUAUACAUGUGGUGUGAAUACUUGAAUCGCAUUCACAUACACUGAGAAAGGGCUUUUCAGUUGACCAGGAGAAAUCUUUUGUUACAAUCUGUACUUUCAAUGAGGGAACAGGAUUACAUAUAAUUUUAAAGAUUUUCUUGGAUUAUCUUUUCUGUGGAGAAAUCAUAUCAGAGUAUUUAUUA